GCGGAGCGGACGCGGGGGCUAGCACCGAUGGGGGAGAGGGGAGCGGGAGAGAGGGGAAAAGAGAAAGCGUGCGGGGGGAGAGAGAGAGAAUAAGAGAGAGAGGGGGAGAGAGAAAGAGAGAAAGAGGGAGUCGGGGAGGAAGAGAAAGAGAGAGGGAGAGAAUGAGAGAGAGAGAGGGGGAGAGAGAAAGAGAAAAAGAGGGAGUCACGGAGGAAGAGAAAGAGAGAGGGAGAGGGAGAGAGAAUUUUACCAUUUUAAUAUUUAAAUUUUAUACAUAAAUUUUAAAUUUUAAUUUUAACUUAUAUUAUAUAUAUAUAAUUUUAUUUAUAAAUAUAUAUUUAUUUAUUAUAUAUAAUUGUAUAUUUAUUUUUUUUAAGUUUAAAAUUUUAAAUUAAAUUUAAAAAUUAAAAAAAUAAAAAAAAUUGUUUAAAAUAUUUUAAAAAUUGUGUAAAUUU
rnacentral:lncRNA from 1 species